AUUGAACGCUGGCGGCAGGCCUAACACAUGCAAGUCGAACGAGUGGCGGACGGGUGAGUAAUGUCUGGGAAACUGCCUGAUGGAGGGGGAUAACUACUGGAAACGGUAGCUAAUACCGCAUACCAUCGGAUGUGCCCAGAUGGGAUUAGCUAGUAGGUGGGGUAAAGGCUCACCUAGGCGACGAUCCCUAGCUGGUCUGAGAGGAUGACCAGCCACACUGGAACUGAGACAAGGUCCAGACUCCUACGGGAGGCAGCAGUGGGGAAUAUUGCACCAUGGGCGCAAGCCCUAAGCAGCCAUGCCGCGUGUAUGAAGAAGGCCUUCGGGUUUUAAAGGAAUUUCAGCGGGGAGGCGUUACCCGCAGAAGAAGCACCGGCUAACUCCGUGCCAGCAGCCGCGGUAAUAC
rnacentral:rRNA from 1 species